GUGUGGAGGAGGGGUGAGGACAAGGAACAGAUGAGUGCUGCUGGGAUGUAUCAAAACGGGCAAAGAAGCAGUUUAGCUCCUCUGCCAGUGGUGCACUCAGG